CAGGGCGUAGCUAUAAUACAAAGCACUCAGCUUACACCUGAAAGAUACCUUCCACUUCCUAGGUCGUCCUGA
rnacentral:tRNA from 2 species